GACGAACGCUGGCGGCGUGCCUAAUACAUGCAAGUAGAACGCAGUGGGGACGGGUGAGUAACACGUGGGUAAACUCCCAUCAGAGGGGAUAACACUUGGAAACAGGUGCUAAACCGAUACUGAUGGAUGGACCCGCGGUGAAUUAGCUAGUGGGUGGGGUAACGGCUCACCAAGGCCACGAUGCAUAGCCGACCUGCGAGGGGGAUCGGCCACACUGGGACUGAGCACCGGCCCAUACUCCUACGGGAGGCAGCAGUAGGGAUGCUUCUGCAAUGGACUAAAGUCUGACCGGUAAACGCCGCGUGAGUGAAAAAGGUUUUCGGAUCGUAAAACUCUGUUGUCAGAGAAGCGGUAUCUAACCAGAAAGCCACGGCUAACUACGUGCCAGCAGCCGCGGUAAUAC
rnacentral:rRNA from 1 species